UAAAGCUACAAAGAGCUAAUGGUGGAUGCCUUGGUACUAGCAGCCGAUGAAGGACGCGCAUGUCUGCGAUAAUCUACGGGGAGUUGACAAGAUGCCUUGAUCCGUAGGAUUCCGAAUGGGGAAACCCUCUAGGGUUAAUACCUUAGAACCCGUAACUGAAUACAUAGGUUGCGUGGAGGAAAGCUUGUGAACUGAAACAUCUUAGUAACAAGACGAAAAGAAAAUAAACUAAUGAUUCCGAAAGUAGCGGCGAGCGAACUCGGAACAGCCUAAACUUUACGUACGUGAUAGACUGCAAUCGUUGUGCGUAGAGUGUUGUGGGAGCUUCAGAAUACUUUGCAGAGUGUUCAAAGAGUUACAAAAUUAUUUGUUAGAUGAAGACAACUGGAAAGUUGUGCCAUAGAUGGUGAUAGCCCAGUAAUCGAAAGCAAAUGAUCUCUUGAAGAUUUCCCGAGUAAGGCGGGGCACGUGAAACCCUGUCUGAAUCUGCCGGGACCAUCCGGUAAGGCUAAAUACUCGCUAGUGACCGAUAGUGAACGAGUACAGUGAUGGAAAGGCGAAAAGAACAGUGAGAAGCUGAGUGAAAUAGAUCCUAAAACCGUUAGCUUACAACGAGCUAGAGCCCUAUUGAUAGGGUGAUAGCGUGCCUGUUGAAGAAUGAGCCGGCGAGUUAUCUUAUGUUGCGAGGUUAAGGGGUUAAUACCCGGAGCCACAGGGAAACCGAGUCUGAAUAGGGCGAUUGAGUAACAUGAGAUAGACCCGAACCUUGGCGAUCUAACCAUGACCAGGAUGAAGCGUAGGUGACACUACGUGGAGGUCCGAACCGACUGAUGUUGAAAAAUCAGCGGAUGAGUUGUGGUUAGGGGUGAAAUGCCAAUCGAGCCAAGAGCUAGCUGGUUCUCCCCGAAAUGCGUUUAGGCACAGCCUCAGGUUUAUCUUAUGGGAGGUAGAGCACUAGUUUGGUGCGGGCCGAGAAACUCGGUACCAAAUCAUGUUAAACUCCGAAUGCCCAUAAUGUUACUGCCUGGGAGUGAGACUGCGAGUGAUAAGAUCCGUAGUCAAGAGGGAAACAGCCCAGACCGCCAUCUAAGGUCCCUAAUUAUAUGCUAAGUGGUUAAGGAGGUAGGAAUACUUUGACAACCAGGAGGUUGGCUUAGAAGCAGCCAUUCCUUAAAAGAGUGCGUAAUAGCUCACUGGUCAAGUGUCCCCGCGCCGAAAAUACACCGGGACUCAAGCAUAUAACCGAAGAUGCGGCAGAUAAUUCGUUAUCUGGGUAGGGGAGCGUUCUGUUGUAGGUUGAAGCUAGAUCGAAAGGACUAGUGGACGAAGCAGAAGUGAGAAUGUCGGCAUGAGUAGCGAAAACAUUGGUGAGAAUCCAAUGCACCGUAAACCUAAGGUUUCCCCUGGCAGGCUCGUCCGCGGGGGGUUAGUCGGAACCUAAGCUCAGGCUGAAAAGCGUAGGCGAUGGACAACAGGUUGAUAUUCCUGUACUAUCUGGUAGUCGUUAUCAGAUGCGGAGGGACGCAGGAGGAUAAGCACGCAGCCGAUCGGAAGUGGCUGUUUAAGCGUGUAGCUAGUUCGAGUAGGAAAAUCCGCUCGGGCGUUAUGACGUGAGGCGUUAUGAGGAGAGUCUACGGACUCGAAGGUGUUGACUCCACACUGCCAAGAAAAUCUUCGCAAUCGAGAAUAUCAGGUAUCCGUACCGUAAACCGCCACAGGUAGGUUAGUAGAAAAUACUAAGGUGCGCGAGAUAACUCUCGCUAAGGAACUCGGCAAAAUCACCUCGUAACUUCGGGAGAAGAGGUACCCUGGUAGUGUGAUCUAUCCUCGCGAUAGUGAGCAUGAUAGGGUCGCAGUGAAUAGGCCCAUGCGACUGUUUACCAAAAACACAGGUCUCUGCUAAGUCGUAAGACGAUGUAUAGGGGCUGACGCCUGCCCGGUGCUGGAAGGUUACGUAGAAGGGUUAGUGGUUUACCACGAAGCUCCGACACUAAGCCCCAGUGAACGGCGGCCGUAACUAUAACGGUCCUAAGGUAGCGAAAUUCCUUGUCAGGUAAGUUCUGACCCGCACGAAUGGCGUAACGAUAUGGGCGCUGUCUCGGCGAGAGGCUCGGCGAAAUUGGAUUAUCCGUGAAGAUACGGAUUACGCGUACCAGGACAGAAAGACCCUAUUGAGCUUUACUGUAGCUUGAAAUUGAAUUCGGGUCCUGCUUGUGCAGGAUAGGUGGGAGACUUUGAAGCAGAAACGUCAGUUUUUGUGGAGUCGCCGUUGAGAUACCACUCUGGUAUGAUUUGAAUUCUAACGUUCAUCCCUCUAACAUCAGGGGAACGGACAGUUUCUGGUAGGCAGUUUGACUGGGGCGGUCGCCUCCUAAAGAGUAACGGAGGCGCUCAAAGGUUCCCUCAGGUUGGUCGGAAAUCAACCUUCGAGUGUAAAGGCACAAGGGAGCUUGACUGCGAGACCUACAAGUCGAGCAGGUGCGAAAGCAGGACUUAGUGAUCCGGUGGUCCCGAAUGGAAGGGCCAUCGCUCAUCGGAUAAAAGUUACCAUAGGGAUAACAGGCUUAUCUCCCCCAAGAGUCCACAUCGACGGGGAGGUUUGGCACCUCGAUGUCGGCUCGUCGCAUCCUGGAGCGGUAGUACGUUCCAAGGGUUGGGCUGUUCGCCCAUUAAAGCGGCACGCGAGCUGGGUUCAGAACGUCGUGAGACAGUUCGGUCCAUAUCCGGUAUGCGCGCAAGAGAAUUGAUCGGAGUCUUCCUUAGUACGAGAGGACCGGGAAGAGGGAACCUCCAGUGUACGGGUUAUCGCGCCAGCGGUAAACGCCCGGUAGCUGUGUUCCAAGCGGAUAAGUGCUGAAAGCAUAUAAGUACGAAGCCCACCGAAAGAUGAGUUCUCUCACAGAGUAAUCUGGUAAGUCCCCAUGCAGAUCACGUGGUUGAUAGGAUGCAGAUAGAAGUAUGGCAACAUAUGUAGUCGAGCAUUACUAAUAGGACGAGGGCUUUUCCU
rnacentral:rRNA from 1 species